rnacentral:rRNA from 1 species
GAUGAACGCUGGCGGCGUGCCCAAUACAUGCAAGUCGAGCGAAUGGAUUAAGAGCUUGCUCUUAUGAAGUUAGCGGCGGACGGGUGAGUAACACGUGGGUAACCUGCCCAUAAGACUGGGAUAACUCCGGGAAACCGGGGCUAAUACCGGAUAACAUUUUGAACCGCAUGGUUCGAAAUUGAAAGGCGGCUUCGGCUGUCACUUAUGGAUGGACCCGCGUCGCAUUAGCUAGUUGGUGAGGUAACGGCUCACCAAGGCAACGAUGCGUAGCCGAGCUGAGAGGGUGAUCGGCCACACUGGGACUGAGACACGGCCCAGACUCCGACGGGAGGCAGCAGUAGGGAAUCUUCCGCAAUGGACGAAAGUCUGACGGAGCAACGCCGCGUGAGUGAUGAAGGCUUUCGGGUCGUAAAACUCUGUUGUUAGGGAAGAACAAGUGCUAGUUGAAUAAGCUGGCACCUUGACGGUACCUAACCAGAAAGCCACGGCUAACUACGUGCCAGCCGCCGCCGUAA